AGUGAACGCUGGCGGUAGGCCUAACACAUGCAAGUCGAACGGCAGCACAGUAAGAGCUUGCUCUUACGGGUGGCGAGUGGCGGACGGGUGAGGAAUACAUCGGAAUCUACUUUUUCGUGGGGGAUAACGUAGGGAAACUUACGCUAAUACCGCAUACGACCUACGGGUGAAAGCAGGGGAUCUUCGGACCUUGCUCGAUUGAAUGAGCCGAUGUCGGAUUAGCUAGUUGGCGGGGUAAAGGCCCACCAAGGCGACGAUCCGUAGCUGGUCUGAGAGGAUGAUCAGCCACACUGGAACUGAGACACGGUCCAGACUCCUACGGGAGGCAGCAGUGGGGAAUAUUGGACAAUGGGCGCAAGCCUGAUCCAGCCAUACCGCGUGGGUGAAGAAGGCCUUCGGGUUGUAAAGCCCUUUUGUUGGGAAAGAAAAGCAGUAGGUUAAUACCCCGCUGUUCUGACGGUACCCAAAGAAUAAGCACCGGCUAACUUCGUG
rnacentral:rRNA from 1 species